rnacentral:lncRNA from 1 species
UGUUUUCACCUCCCAAAAGCUCCAAUAACAUUGCAUGCAUGCCUAGGCCACAGUAACCCCUUGCAAACAUCAACAAUUCAGCUUUAAAUCUGAUCCAAAGCUCAUUUUACUAAACACUUGUGUUGUGAACAAGAACUUCCAAACUUGCAAAAGCUCUCAAGCAUCUCUGAAGCAUUUCUGGACAUCAAGGCCGAUUUCUAGUGUUAGCUUAACAUCAAUAGGACCUUGAUUAUGUUGGCAUUUAUGUGGGAAACAAACCCUCUAAAGGAUUAGGAGGCCCAGUAAAAGCUACCACACUUACCGUUUGUGUUACAUACUUGCUCAGGUACUAUACGAAAAUAGGCUGGCUGUUUCCUAAGAGCGUCCACUAUAGUCUCG